rnacentral:piRNA from 1 species
UCCAGUGUUUAGCAAGUGGAUGUGUGAGU